GCUCCGUUCGUCUAGGGGUUAGGACUGCAGAUUUUCAUUCUGCCAACAGGGGUUCGAUUCCCCUACGGAGUACUA
rnacentral:tRNA from 2 species